GGAAGGGUGCUCCGAAUGGUAAGGAACCAGUCUUGAAAACUGGCGGGCCAAAAGCCCUUGUGGGUUCGAGUCCCACCCCUUCCGCAA
rnacentral:tRNA from 1 species